rnacentral:rRNA from 1 species
CAGUCGCCGCGGUAAUACGAAGGGUGCAAGCGUUAAUCGGAAUUACUGGGCGUAAAGCGUGCGUAGGCGGUUUGUUAAGUCUGUUGUGAAAUCCCCGGGCUCAACCUGGGAAUGGCAAUGGAUACUGGCAAGCUAGAGUGUGUCAGAGGAUGGUGGAACUCCCGGUGUAGCGGUGAAAUGCGUAGAGAUCGGGAGGAACAUCAGUGGCGAAGGCGGCCAUCUGGGACAACACUGACGCUGAGGCACGAAAGCGUGGGGAGCAAACAGGAUUAGAUACCCCAGUAGUCCCUGUCUCUUAUAC